rnacentral:tRNA from 1 species
UCCUGGUUAGCUCAGUUGGUAGUGCACUCUACUGGAAGUGGAGAGGUCCCUGGUUCGACACCAGGACCAGGUG